UUUUUUUUUUUUUUUGCUUUUUAGGGCCACACUCUCAGCAAAUGGACAUUCCCAGGCUAGGGGUAGCAUCCAGCUGCAGCUGCUGGAUCCUUAACCCACCGAGCGAGGCCCCUUAUUCCUCAUUUUUAAGUUCUCAAAAAAAAAAAACGGACAAGAUUCUUAUUGACAUCUCUGUUACUGUUAAGAUGUGUUGCUGCUUAUAGGGACGGAUGACAAAUCCCCAUGUCUUUGUCAUUCCACAAGCCUUCUACCAAACCCAUGGAUCAGGGUACCCUAUCCAGGUGAUUUACUGGGCUAGAUUUGUUCCAUGAUUUCAUAGUUAGACACUUCCAUCUUUGUCAGUGCCGUCCUGAUCACCCCACAAGGGAUAUGUAGUAGAAAUUCUCAGAUGUCAAAUGUCUUGCAUGCAGGUAAAAAAAAAAAUGACUGUCAUCCAAGUUAUCAACCAUAAGAAUAAAAUUCCAUAGCUUCAAUUCAGAAUUACAGGCUUGUAUUUUGAAGUUUGCUUUUUUUUUUUUCUUUCUUUCACCUUGGCUUUUGCUUUCUUUCUAUACUCCAGCUGUCUUCAUUCUUUUUUUUUUUUUUUGUCUUUUUGCUGUUUCUUUGGGCAGCUCCCGCGGCAUAUGGAGGUUCCCAGGGUAGGGGUCGAAUCGGAGCUGUAGCCACUGGCUUACGCCAGAGCCACAGCAACACAGGAUCCGAGCCGCGUCUGCAACCUACACCACAGCUCACGGCAACGCCGGAUCCUUAACCCACUGAGCAAGGGCAGGGACCGAACCCGCAACCUCAUGGUUCCUAGUCGGAUUCAUUAACCACUGCGCCACGACAGGAACUCCGCUUUCUUCAUUCUUUAGCUUAAUUCAGCAAAUAUUUGUGAUAGCUAUGUGCAGAAAACUGUAACCACCCUGAUGGUUACAAAGAUAAAUGAAAGGUCCUUUCCUUUUCCCCACUCCAAAGCCACUCAAGGAAGCAAUCACUCCUAAAUCCUUUCUUUCUGCUAAAGAACAUCAAAAUAGAAUGCUUGGGUUUUUCUCCUUUUUCUUUUUAGUUUUAACUUAAAGAUUUGUUUAAGCUUAAAAUGUAUUGCUAUAAUUGUGCUCUUAAACUUUCAUUGACUUUUUUUUUUUUUUUUGGUCUUUUUUUGCUAUUUCUUGGGCCGCUCCCGUGCCAUAUGGAGGUUCCCAGGCUAGGGGUCGAAUCGGAGCUGUAGCCUCCGGCCUACGCCAGAGCCACAGCAAUGCAGGACCCGAGCUGCGUCUGCAACCUACACCACAGCUCACGGCAACGCCAGAUUGUUAACCCACUGAGCAAGGGCAGGGACCGAACCCGCAACCUCAUGGUUCCUAGUCAGAUUCGUUAACCACUGCGCCACGACGGGAACUCCCAUUGACUGUUUUUAAUAAGACUCUGUUUUCUCCUAUUUUGUUCAAGUUAGGAGUAACCUUAAAAUAAGGAUGAGCUUAAUGGAAUGGAAAUGAUAUCUCAGUAAAGCUGUUAUGUAUAUGUGGACUGAUGUAGAAAAUCUUCCCUAAAUAAUAUUAUGAUAUAAAUACAAAUAGCCUUCUUUGGUUAAAUUUCAUCCCAUGUAUAACGAAUUGGCUGGGCCGUUUUGCAGCACCGUAGAUGGAGCGCCACAUCCUAGCCCCAGUUCUAAACCUAGAUGAAAUCUUAGUUAACUAAUUGAAACACUCAUUUGGAAAAGAACUUAAGCAAGGUUCAGUAACUCUCAAUUUCCCACUUUGCUUGCAAAACAUGAUGUAAGUACAGAAUUCCACUCUUCACAGAUUAUUACACCGUGUGUUCACUCACAAGGAAAUUAUUUAAUGCAGUUUACUCCCAACUGGUUCCCUCAUGCUGACCCCUUUAUUAAAGUAACUGGUUUCUCAAGGUUAUGUUUAUUUUGGGGGAAAUUUUUUUUUUUUUUUUUUUUUGAGCUCGUAAAUUUAGUCCCACACCUGGUCUCAUUCUUUUUCUUUUUCCCCUUUAAAAUUUCCACAUUGUGUCACCACACCAGCUCUUUAUAACUUCUACCCUCUCUCUUCCUGCUUCGUUAGUAACCCAGGCCUUUGCCUGGGAGUACGUUUUUCAAUGCUCCCGACCUUGGACAAGUAAGACACAUUUUCACCGACGGCCCCUGAAAGUCCGAUGCUUAUCUCCUAUAUAUUGUUUUUUGGGGAUUGGACCAUGAUGCUGAGAAUGGAUGCGCCACUUAGGAAAUUUUAUUUUCAGAGCGCACCAAAGCCUUUUUCUUCCUUUUGCCACUUUCGUUCCAACUCACGCUUUCAAACAUACCUUGUCUCAGAGCAUUUUGAUCAAUAGCGUUGUCUUUGAGGUCCCCUCACAACUGAUUGUGAUCUCAUACGCAUCCCCCCGUCCCUGAAGGCCUCUGAGAUCGCUUCUCACUGUGGAGGCCACCGCACAGCCAUUUGGAGCAGACAGCGACUUUGGCUUGGGUUUCCAGGGUCUCCUCCUGAAGCUGGUGGAUUAUGCCCAAGAGCUGCCCCGGGGGGCGGAGGGGGCAUGUAGCUUCUCUUGAAUUUCACCUAAUCCUCAGAGAUGGGCAUAGACAUUAUAUUAACUAUCAUGCUUUAUAAUCCGUUAAAAUUGCUGUCAUUCUUUGUGGCAGCCCUUUUGUUUUUCUCCUCGAUUUUGCAUUUUCUCACUGCACAACAUCCUGCAGAACGUGGACGCUACGAGAUUACUCAGAAUAGCCAAAGAUAAUAAUACAUGCCUUCUGUUAGUUUGCUGAUUUGUCUGUGAUCUAAGGGUGGGAGUAAAUAUACGUGCCAAAUGGUUAACAGAUUAUACCGCAUUGUCAAGUUGUGUGUGUGUGUGUGUGUGUGUGUUUAAAUUAGGUAAACGUCCUUUGUGGUUUUAAUGGAUUUAAUUUAAUGAAUUUAUUUUCUCCCUUCCAAGGAAUGGCCCUUAUUCCUCAGCAUAAUCCCUGUGACUUAAAGGCUAAAAAUCUUUGUUUUUACAUCUGGAGAGCAAAUGGAUGUUCCCACUUCAUUCUCAGACAAGUGGGUGAUUGAUGGCUUUGAUAUCAACUUCUUAACUGAAAUAAAUUUUUUGUCUCAAUUUGACAGAAAAUAGUGAUAACACCAGGGUCCUUUCCACCCACCGACCUGGAUAUAUGGGGCCUUUCUUUCAUCUUUCUUUAUUUGCUUAUACCCUGGGCUGAAAAAUCUCACAUUUUCUCCUGAAAUUGAUUUAACAAUAUGGCAGACCUUUAAAAAUAUCUAAAGUACAGAAUAUAGCACAUUCUACCAAAAUAGGAGGCCAAUAGUUUAUACAUGCUUGGUCUAAUACGUUCCUCACCUUAUAUAAAUCUCCAGAAGAGCUAUAGGAAGGAAACACAUUCCCCUGACACGACAAGGUGUAAAAUGGCUAUAAACCAAUUACUUUUUGCAGUUCUUAGUCUCGGGAAUACUGACCCUUCUGACUUCAUUUUCAGACAGGAACCCUCUACCCCCACCUUGCAAGGAAAAAUAAUUGAGCUCCAUGCCUAGCAAGGAGCAAAUCAAGGUUUUCAAAGAAUGAUUUUGCUAGAACUUAUGGAGCAAAUCACCUUUAAAGCAUGCCAGAGAUAGUUAUUUAAAUGUAUUUAAGCUUCUAAUCAAAGUGGUCUUUGAUGAACUUUUCCCAUUUUAAAAUACAUCAAAGUGAGUAAAGAGAGUAGAGAAGCCAUUAGAAAAUCAUUAUAAUAAACACCAACAUUGAUUUACUUCCCUCUGCUGUGGAAUGCCCCCUCCUCUUGUUUUAAUCUAUUCAGGUGGGCUUUAUAAAGUGAAGUAAUCAAACUCUCACAGGCCAUCAAAAAACAAAAAUGUAAGUGAUUUUUUUAAAAAAUUUUUAAGAUUUCAAGGAAGCUGGUCAGUACUGUGAGUGCCCAGUUCUUAGCUGUGACUUUCAAGUUGAACCUUUUCAAUGGUAAAUAGCCUCCUGCUUAUGCCUGGGUGUUUUGGCUUUAAAAAAUCAAUCUCUGCGAAAAUGGGCUUCCAUCUUGCUUUCAGCCCCGUCUCCUUUGAUGAUUGAUGUUAAUUCUCUAAGCUGCUGACCCAAGAAAAAAGGAUUGUUUGUGCUGUUGUUUUGAAUAAAUAAACUUACAAAGAAUCAAUGGCUGUAGCUCAGAGAAAUUAGAUGGUGGAGAGCAUAAAGUUUCUUUCUGCCGUGUUUCUCAUGUAAAUAAAGCAGGUAAAGGGCAUUUCAGCCCCAGGUAUCUUUUGAGUGAUGGAAGCUUGCUUCAAGGGGGAACUUUUUUUUUUCUUCAUUAAAAAAGAAAUACUCUAUCUGUAGUGAGCAAAAGGCUGUGUUUAUGACAAAAUAGGACAGUGGCUUAUUCCUAUAAACAAUCAGGCUGGCAGUAAAGGCGCAUUUGCCUACUCACUGAAACUUAGCUAACCUUUGGUAUGGUUAGUAUAGGGACAGAGGUCUUACCAUCGAAGUUUAGAGAAACAUUUCUUUUUCUUUCUUUCCUUUUUUUUUUUUUUUUGUCUUUUUGUCUUUUCGCCUUUUCUAGGGCCGCACCCGCAGCAUAUGGAGGUUCCCAGGUUAGGGGUCGAGUCGGAGCUGUAGCCGCUGGGCUACGCCAGGGCCACAGCAACGCGGGGAUCUGAACUGCAUCUGCAACCUACACCACAGCUCACGGCAACGCCGGAUCCUUAACUCACUGAGCAAGGCCAGGGAUCGAACCUGCAACCUCAUGGUUCCUAGUCGGAUUUGUUAACCACUGCGCCACAAGGAACUCCUAGGGAAGCAUUUCUGAAGGAGUUGACAACGUUGUCUUUAGUUGGAAGGUAGAAAGGCAGUGUGGUCUGCCAGAACAACAUAGUUAACCUAGAUGAUUUCCUGAUGCAGCUGGCUGUUGGCUGACUGAUCAUACUGGAGUAGUUUUGCUUUGUCAUGACACAGUUUCCUUUUCCUAAGACCGUACCACCCGUUCUUAUGGUCAUGGAGGGAAGGUGGCAUCACCAGUAAUGACUGUUCUUUAGGAAAAAUGUGAUUCAGUGAGUUUCUGGCCAUGAGACUUAGAAUCAGUGUUAUAGUCAGUCCAAGAGUCUUGAAAGUAUAAAAACGGCCUUGCUUUUUAUUACCUUUUCUUUUUGCAGCCACUUACUCAGCAAUGUCUAAUAAAAAGGCUGUGUGUGUGGAGUUCCUGGUGUGGCUUGGCAGGGUAAGGACCCGACGUUGUCUCUGUGAGGACUCGGGUUCAAUUCCUGGGCUCACUCAGUGGAUUAGGGAUCUAGUGUUGCCACAAGCUGUACUGUAGGUCGCAGAUGUGGCUUGGAUCCAUGGCUGUCGCGUGGGCUGCAGCUGCAGCUCCAAUUUGACCCCUAGCUGGGGAACUUCCAUACGCUGCAGGUGUGCCUGUAAAAAGAAAAAAUUAAAAAUAAGUAAAUAAAAAGACCGCGCUUCCCUUUUUAGUUUGCCUAAUCCUCAGUUCCAGCCAAACAGCCAUGUUACAUUUACGUUACUAAUAACGUGCAGUAUCAGAACUUAACAUUAACUAUGGUCGUUACAGUUUUAUCAUUUGUGAGCAUCCAAAACAUCAAGGAAGAGCGGGAAGGCCAAGUCAGUUAUGGUAUUCUCAGAUAGUUUAUGUGAAGUCAGUUUCCUGUUCUUUAAAAUGAAGAUAAUAAUACCUACCUCUUAGGGCAGAGCUGAAGACCAAAUAUGUUCACAUAUGUAAAGCACUUAGAACAUUGAGGCGCAUAAGCAGCAGAUAGCUGUUUGCUUUUGUUCUUAGCGGUAAACGCUAAUAAACGUCCAUGAAGAGCCUUGGUCAGCAAAGAAUGUAUGUUUCAAGUGGAUUUGUGAUUAUAGAUAAAAAUGAUCUUAACUCUGUGAAAUAGUACUAGGAGGUAAUAUAGCAAAUAGCAAACAUAGUUAUUCCUGUGUAUUCUUUUUCCUUUCUACUUUUUAUGUUUUUUUCUAUAUUUUAUAUAU
rnacentral:lncRNA from 1 species